GCAACUAGAACCAAAUCAUGUUAUAAAACAAAAUAAAAAGUAACAUUAAAAAUGUUCGUAAGAAAACAAAGAUACCCUCUGCGCACAUUAUUCAAUCUAUAUCAGUUAUAAAUGACAGGACUAUACAAGUAACAUAGGAACCGAUAAUUCUGUUUCUGACAUUUAAUGACUUAUGUAAAUCAGGUGUAUUGGGGAUUCAAUGUUUUCCAGGG
rnacentral:lncRNA from 1 species